UCAAGCUACAAAGAGCACAAGGGGAAUGCCUUGGCACCGAGAGCCGAAGAAGGACGUGACUAACUGCGAUAAGCUGCGGGGAGCCGUAAGUAGGCUUUGAUCCGCAGAUUUCCGAAUGGAGCAAUCCGGCAAGAGGAAAGUCUUGUCAUCAUAUACUGAAUACAUAGGUAUAUGAGGGGAACCGCCUGAACUGAAACAUCUAAGUAGGGCGAGGAAGAGAAAUCAACUGAGAUUCCGUAAGUAGUGGCGAGCGAACGCGGAAGAGGCCAAACCGAGAGUAGUAAUACUUUCGGGGUUCGGACAGAAUACGGUAUUGUAAAGGUUUAGUGGAAUGGAAUGGGAAGUCCAACCGAAGAAGGUGAGAGUCCUGUACACGAAAAGCCUGAACAGCCAUCUGUAUCCAGAGUACCGCCGGACACGUGAAACCCGGUGGGAAUACGGGGGGACCAUCCUCCAAGCCUAAAUACUACUCGGUGACCGAUAGUGAAGAAGUACUGUGAAGGAAAGGUGAAAAGUACCCCUGACGGGGAGUGAAAAAGAACCUGAAACCUUGUGUUUACAAGCACCGAAAGCUCAUCAAAGAGCGAUCGGGUACCUUUUGUAGAAUGGUCCGGCGAGUGAAUGUAACCGGCGAGGUUAAGCACUUAAGGUGUGAAGCCGCAGCGAGAGCAAGUCUGAAUAGGGCGUAUGAAGUCGGUUGUAUUCGACCCGAAACCGGGUGACCUACCCAUGGUCAGGUUGAAGUAAAGGUAAAACUUUAUGGAGGACCGAACCGACUCCCGUUGAAAUGGUAGCGGAUGAACUGUGGGUAGCGGAGAAAUUCCAAUCGAACCCGGAGAUAGCUGGUUCUCUCCGAAAUAGCUUUAGGGCUAGCCUUGAAAUAGAUUACCGGAGGUAAAGCACUGAAUUGGCUAGGGGCCGAGAGGUUACUGAACCUUAUCAAACUAAGAAUGCCGGAUAAUCGUUUUUCAGGAGUCAGACAGUGGGAGAUAAGUUUCAUUGUCAAAAGGGAAACAGCCCAGACCCACAGCUAAGGUCCCCAAGUAUAGUUAAGUGGAAAAGGAUGUGGAAUUGCACAGACAACCAGGAUGUUGGCUUAGAAGCAGCCACUCAUUAAAAGAGUGCGUAAUAGCUCACUGGUCGAGUGACUCUGCGCCGAAAAUUUAACGGGGCUAAACUAUACACCGAAGCUUGGGAUACAUCUAAUGUAUGGUAGGAGAGCGUUCUGUAUGGGGUGAAGUCGUAGCGAAAGCGGCGGUGGACUAUACAGAAGUGAGAAUGCCGGAAUAAGUAGCGAGAAUUAAGUGAGAAUCUUAAUGGCCGAAAGUCUAAGGUUUUUGGAGGAAGGUUCGUCCGCUCCAAGUAAGUCGGGAGCUAAGGUCAGGCCGAAAGGCGUAGCCGAUGCACAUACGGUUGAUAUUCCGUAACCAUCUGUAAUUUAAGCAAAGGGACACUUCAAAAGGGUGUGACCCGGGCGUUGGUUGACCCGGGCGUAAGGGACCGAAAUUAGAGUAGGGAAGCACACUUGGCUGAAGGCGAGAAAAGCUUUGCGUAUAGAAGCAGAUGCCCGUACCGCAAACCGACACAGGUGGACAGGAAGAGAAUUCUAAGGCCAGCGGGAGAAGGGUAGUUAAGGAACUCGGCAAAUUGACUCCGUAACUUCGGAAUAAGGAGUGCUCGAAAGAGCCGCAGAGAAUAGGCCCAGGCGACUGUUUAGCAAAAACACAGGUCUCUGCCAAAUCGAAAGAUGAAGUAUAGGGGCUGACACCUGCCCGGUGCCGGAAGGUUAAGAGGAGGAGUGAGAGCUCCGAAUUGAAGCCCCGGUAAACGGCGGCCGUAACUAUAACGGUCCUAAGGUAGCGAAAUUCCUUGUCGGGUAAGUUCCGACCUG
rnacentral:rRNA from 1 species